rnacentral:rRNA from 1 species
GAGUUUGAUCGUGGCUCAGAUUGAACGCUGGCGGCAGGCCUAACACAUGCAAGUCGAGCGGAUGACGGGAGCUUGCUCCUUGAUUCAGCGGCGGACGGGUGAGUAAUGCCUAGGAAUCUGCCUGGUAGUGGGGGACAACGUUUCGAAAGGAACGCUAAUACCGCAUACGUCCUACGGGAGAAAGCAGGGGACCUUCGGGCCUCGCGCUCUUGGAGCGGCCGAUGUCGGAUUAGCUAGUUGGUGAGGUAGAGGCUCACCAAGGCGACGAUCCGUAGCAGGUCUGAGAGGAUGAUCUGCCACACUGGAACUGAGACACGGUCCAGACUCCUACGGGAGGCAGCAGUGGGGAAUUUUGGACAAUGGGGGCAACCCUGAUCCAGCCAUGCCGCGUGAGUGAAGAAGGCCUC